AAAACAUCAGCCAUCAAAACAUUCUAUGUUCCUGCGGAUAUUCCUAUUAACAACGGUACAUCGAUCUUCGCCGUAGAUUAGAGAUCAACCAACGGAAUCAAAAAAACAGACGGAGUGGAAAGCAACGUAGAAUACACCCGCCUACACGAAUUUGUUGAUGUAACGGAGAAAUGGUGAACAGAAUCGUAAUGCCGAUGACGGAACGGUCGAGGACGGCGGAUGGCGAUGGUGGGGGUGGCGGCGAUGAGGGAGCAUUUUAAG